UCACCCGUCAUUGGGGAGUAGCCGCCUCGCAUCGCCACGAUGCAGGGCCUGCGUCAACACACUUGGCCGCCACGGCCAUGGCGCAGGCAGCUGAUCCAGCCUGGCAAGACCUUUGACCGCGCGGACCCGGCACGACCGGCGGGACCGUGUGGUCAUCCGUCUGCU
rnacentral:sRNA from 2 species